rnacentral:rRNA from 1 species
UACGGAGGGUGCAAACGUUGCUCGGAAUCAUUGGGCGUAAAGCGCACGUAGGCGGCCUGUUAAGUCGGGUGUGAAAGCCCUGGGCUCAACCCAGGAAGUGCACUCGAAACUGGCGGGCUUGAAUAUGGAAGAGGGUCGCGGAAUUCCCGGUGUAGAGGUGAAAUUCGUAGAUAUCGGGAGGAACACCAGUGGCGAAGGCGGCCUUCUGGACAGUGACUGACGCUGAGACGCGAAAGCGUGGGGAGCAAACAGG